GGCUUCGUGGCCCAAUGGCAAGGCGUCUGACUACGAUGGAGGCCGCACUUGCGUCCUUACCGAUAAUCAGGAGAUUCUGGGUUCGACCCCCAGCGAGGUCA